CUGACCACAGGACACUGAGGCCUGUUCGCAGACACAGGGAGCCUCACCACCCUCAUGGGGCUCCUCCUUGGGGACAUCUCCCGCUCCCAGGAGCUCCAGGGUCUGCAAGGACAAAGACUAAGAACAUGGAGCUAAGAUGAUUGAAUUCAGUCACUGGCCUUCCUGCACGUGGAAGCUGGGUGGCAUGUGAUGGGGUGAGGCACAGGGAAUCCAGAUUUGGGGCCAGGAGAAGCUCGCCAAGAUGAUUGAGUCAUCUCAGGAAUACUCUGAGAAAACUUAUUUUAGAAAUAAUAUGUAACAUAGUCAUUUUUUUCCCAUAAUAUUUAGGCAUGGAAGUAAUACAUAUUAAUUGAAAAUUUGGAGGAUAAAAAGAAGGGAUAGACUUUAAUGGGGACCCAUAAGGCAGAUCCAAGUUUCCUGUAAAUAACUGCACAUCUGUAUGUAUUUAUGUAAAUUUCAUUUCUUUCUAAUUUUAAAGAUAUUCUUGGACACAUUCAUUAAAUAAGUCAAUCAUGGUACAGUGCUAAUAGAAUCCAUCUCUGCAUAUUGAAAAAUGCAUUGUUAUAUCAAACCUUCCUUCUCCUAAGAUGUACCUACUAUAUCCUUAACAAUUUAGAGUUGGAGAAAGGGACAUGUUUAGCUACUCUACUCUCAUUACUCUAAAUGUUAUUUACUAGCUUCUGUUUAGGCACUAACAGACUUAGGGCAGGAAGAGGAAAGCAGUAAAAAAAGACAGAAAAUCCUAAAUGUCUAUAUUACUGGUAAUUGUAAUGGAUGCCCUGUGUGUGUUAUCAAUAGACAUUUGAAGAUGUAUUUCUAAUGGUACACUAUUUCUACACAUAAACUAGCACACUUUUUUUUUGGUAUCAUUAAUGUACAAUUACUUGAACAACAUAUGGCUACUAGACUCUCCCUAUUAUCAAGUCCCCCCCACAGACUCCCCCUAUUAUCAAGUCCCAAGUCACUGUCCAUCAGCAUAGUAAGAUGCUAUAGAAUCACUACUUGUCUUCUCUGUAUAUACUGCCUUUCCCAUGACCCCACCCUGCUACCUUAUGUGUGCUAAUUGUAACGUACCUUUUCCCCACUUAUCCCUCCUUUCCCACCCAUUCUCCCUAGUCCCUUACCCUUUGGUAACUGUUAGUCCAUUCUUGGGUUCUGUGAGUCUGCUGCUGUUUUGUUCCUUCAGUUUUUUUCUUUGUUCUUAUACUCCACAGAUGAGUGAAAUCAUCUGAUACUUGUCUUUCUCCACCUGACUUAUUUCACUGAGCAUAAUACCCUCUAGCUCCAUCUAUGUUGUGGCAAAUGGUAGAAUUUGUUUUC